rnacentral:rRNA from 1 species
GACGAACCGUGCGAACGUUAUUCGGAAUCACUGGGCUUAAAGCGCGUGUAGGCGGGACGGCACGUCUGUCGCUGAAAUCCCCCGGCUCAACCGGGGAACGGGCACGGAUACGACCUUCCUGGAGGGGCGUAGGGGGACCUGGAACUUCCGGUGGAGCGGUGAAAUGCGUUGAGAUCGGAAGGAACGCCCGUGGCGAAAGCGAGGUCCUGGACGCCUACUGACGCUGAGACGCGAAAGCCAGGGGAGCGAACGGG